ACUAAACUAACGAGUCCCAAAUAGGACGAAACGCGCGUGCAGGAU
rnacentral:hammerhead_ribozyme from 1 species